rnacentral:rRNA from 1 species
GACGAACGCUGGCGGCGUGCUUAACACAUGCAAGUCGAACGGAAAGGCCCUGCUUUUGUGGGGUGCUCGAGUGGCGAACGGGUGAGUAACACGUGAGUAACCUGCCCUUGACUUUGGGAUAACUUCAGGAAACUGGGGCUAAUACCGGAUAGGAGCUCCUGCUGCAUGGUGGGGGUUGGAAAGUUUCGGCGGUUGGGGAUGGACUCGCGGCUUAUCAGCUUGUUGGUGGGGUAGUGGCUUACCAAGGCUUGGACGGGUAGCCGGCCUGAGAGGGUGACCGGCCACGUUGGGUCUGGGAGGCGGCCGAGGCGACUACGGGGGACAGGGGGGGAGACUAACGCACAAAGGCCGCGUGCGUGAUGAAGGUAUGCCGCGUGCGGAAUGACGUUAUUCGGGUAGAAAACAGCUGUAACUUGCUACGAACGGUUAGACGGGGCAUGGUGUAAAGAACCCGCCUAUCACCACG